rnacentral:rRNA from 1 species
AGAUUGAACGCUGGCGGCAGGCCUUACACAUGCAAGUCGAGCGGUAGAGAGGUGCUUGCACCUCUUGAGAGCGGCGGACGGGUGAGUAAUGCCUAGGAAUCUGCCUAGUGGUGGGGGAUAACGUUCGGAAACGGACGCUAAUACCGCAUACGUCCUACGGGAGAAAGCCGGGGGACCUUCGGGCCUCGCGCCAUUAGAUGAGCCUAGGUCGGAUUAGCUAGUUGGUGAGGUAAUGGCUCACCAAGGCGACGAUCCGUAACUGGUCUGAGAGGAUGAUCGGUCACACUGGAACUG